rnacentral:rRNA from 1 species
UCAGUGUGUGUGUUAGUGGAAGCGUCUGGAAAGGCGCGCGAUACAGGGUGACAGCCCCGUACACAAAAAUGCACAUGCUGUGAGCUCGAUGAGUAGGGCGGGACACGUGGUAUCCUGUCUGAAUAUGGGGGGACCAUCCUCCAAGGCUAAAUACUCCUGACUGACCGAUAGUGAACCAGUACCGUGAGGGAAAGGCGAAAAGAACCCCGGCGAGGGGAGUGAAAAAGAACCUGAAACCGUGUACGUACAAGCAGUGGGAGCACGCUUCGGCGUGUGACUGCGUACCUUUUGUAUAAUGGGUCAGCGACUUAUAUUCUGUAGCAAGGUUAACCGAAUAGGGGAGCCGAAGGGAAACCGAGUCUUAACUGGGCGUUAAGUUGCAGGGUAUAGACCCGAAACCCGGUGAUCUAGCCAUGGGCAGGUUGAAGGUUGGGUAACACUAACUGGAGGACCGAACCGACUAAUGUUGAAAAAUUAGCGGAUGACUUGUGGCUGGGGGUGAAAGGCCAAUCAAACCGGGAGAUAGCUGGUUCUCCCCGAAAGCUAUUUAGGUAGCGCCUCGUGAAUUCAUCUCCGGGGGUAGAGCACUGUUUCGGCAAGGGGGUCAUCCCGACUUACCAACCCGAUGCAAACUGCGAAUACCGGAGAAUGUUAUCACGGGAGACACACGGCGGGUGCUAACGUCCGUCGUGAAGAGGGAAACAACCCAGACCGCCAGCUAAGGUCCCAAAGUCAUGGUUAAGUGGGAAACGAUGUGGGAAGGCCCAGACAGCCAGGAUGUUGGCUUAGAAGCAGCCAUCAUUUAAAGAAAGCGUAAUAGCUCACUGGUCGAGUCGGCCUGCGCGGAAGAUGUAACGGGGCUAAACCAUGCACCGAAGCUGCGGCAGCGACACUAUGUGUUGUUGGGUAGGGGAGCGUUCUGUAAGCCUGUGAAGGUGUACUGUGAGGUAUGCUGGAGGUAUCAGAAGUGCGAAUGCUGACAUAAGUAACGAUAAAGCGGGUGAAAAGCCCGCUCGCCGGAAGACCAAGGGUUCCUGUCCAACGUUAAUCGGGGCAGGGUGAGUCGACCCCUAAGGCGAGGCCGAAAGGCGUAGUCGAUGGGAAACAGGUUAAUAUUCCUGUACUUGGUGUUACUGCGAAGGGGGGACGGAGAAGGCUAUGUUGGCCGGGCGACGGUUGUCCCGGUUUAAGCGUGUAGGCUGGUUUUCCAGGCAAAUCCGGAAAAUCAAGGCUGAGGCGUGAUGACGAGGCACUACGGUGCUGAAGCAACAAAUGCCCUGCUUCCAGGAAAAGCCUCUAAGCAUCAGGUAACAUCAAAUCGUACCCCAAACCGACACAGGUGGUCAGGUAGAGAAUACCAAGGCGCUUGAGAGAACUCGGGUGAAGGAACUAGGCAAAAUGGUGCCGUAACUUCGGGAGAAGGCACGCUGAUAUGUAGGUGAAGCGACUUGCUCGUGGAGCUGAAAUCAGUCGAAGAUACCAGCUGGCUGCAACUGUUUAUUAAAAACACAGCACUGUGCAAACACGAAAGUGGACGUAUACGGUGUGACGCCUGCCCGGUGCCGGAA